UUUGGACACAAUCGUAUGGUGUAAUGUUUUUCUGUUGGGAAUUUAAUAGAUUCUUUUAUAGCAAAAUUUUUUUAUGGACACAAUCGAGUUGUCGGGUAUCUGCUACAGUUUUGCCUCGGUGCUUUAUCUGUAACUUAAAGUUCAGAUUUUUUUUCCAGAGAUUUUAUCUCUGUGUUUUUGUUUUGUUUUGUGUGAGUGCUAUGUAUCUCCUAUAUACAUGCCUCGUUUGUUUUGUCUUUUCCAGGGAUGACAUCAUGUGCUUUUAUGCACUAUUCCCUGUGUUUUAUGUUUUGUUGCGAUGACGUCCAAUUUAUAUUGUGGCCAGCGACGUUUUUGUUCUGUGGUUUUUAACCCAGACAUUUUUUCUAGGGAUGACAUGUGUUGAAAUAUACACUUUCCCUAGGGCCCACUGGAUGGCUAUUCCAGAAAAUAUGUUAGUAAUGGCCGAAAUAGCCUUACAACGUUACUGGGGAUUCGAGUACCACUGGUUCACAGUUGGGACUCUAUGGGGAAUUUUGAAUGCAGGUGGCAAGCAGUAUAAUUUGAAACUGAUGCUUACAGGUAUGAAAGAGAGGUAUGAAAGAUGACUGUAUGUUAGUGUUGGGUUAUGCUCAGACAGCAGAGAUUGUUUUAGGUUUGAAGAACAUCAGUCCUGGUAGUUGGUUUUCAUCUGGUUUGUUUUGCUUAGUGAAAAGUCAGUUUGUUUUUGUUCCUGUUAUGUCAGCAUACCCUACAACUCGUUGUUUGUUUUCUAGAUUUUUUUUUUCAGUUGAAGUUUCUGCUGGAAUGUUUUCUUUUUGAGGUCUUUCUGCGUUUAGACACAUUUUUUUUUCUUUUUCAGUUUGUAGUUCGCUGAGGGCAGCUCAGAUUCUUUCUCCGUGCGAAUGUCUAGGGGGGAGGGUAUUGUAGCGUUGCAGUUUUGGCUGUUUUCACAAAUUGAUUUUCUUACUGGAUAUUUGGAUUUAGGAUACUACUAGCGACAUCUAUUGGCGUGAUUUUGAACUAAUUUGCAAUAGAUGGCGCUUUUUGCUCAGUCAAUUCAAAUAUAUUUUAUUGAAACAUUUCCUAAUGUUUUUGUUUUGAUUAUUCUAUUUUUUAAUAGAAUAUUUUCAGUGUUCAGGAGAUUGUUUUCAUCAUGGUUUUUAUUAGUAUUUGCUUUUUAUCUAAGCGGCGAAACGAAACGUUUCGCGAUGUCAAUGCGAGUCAUUGUCACUGUCAGUUGAGCUGUCAAAUCACUUUGGAAUUUUGGUCGAUCGUGCGCAACCGCAAUUUUAUUAUUUUCGGGGAUGUAAUCCCCUGUGUUUCAAAUCGUGUGUUGCAGAAUGCAUCCACGAUAAUUUCUUAAUAUAAUUUAAAAUAAUCACACAUGAGAAAUUCCCUAAAUUCUAUUCGGAUGAGGGUAUUGGGUUGCUGAGGGCUGCGAGCGAAGCUCAAAUUAGUGAACAGCCUUCAUGCGGGAUUUCAUAUUUCAUAUUUUACAUUUUAUAAUUUAAACAUAAUAUUUUGAUGAUAUUUCAUAUAUUUUAAUUUCUCUUCAUUUCGUAUGAAAUAUUUGUCCUUUCUAAACUGCUGAUCUCUUCGCAUUUCCUCCUUGUCAUCAAACCUCUGUCUCUGCAAGAGUUUGAACGCUUACCUGUCGAAGAGAUGCAAGAGCUUCAUCUGGCACUGCGCGCUUGAGGCCGUGGAGGACGCUGCUUGGAGCCUAAAAGUGUGCGAGACCCGUUGGACCCCGGAAGAAGAGAGGAACGUUCAGGGUAACGGCUUAUAACCGCAUGGCUUCCAAGGUACCCACUUUUCCAUCCUUCAAGUAGGAGUCUUUCCGACCUGACAUCGUGCAGUUAUCUUAACUAUUAGAGUCUUUUAAUAUUUAGGCUGAGUUUUAAGAAAUUUGUAGUGGCAAUAAUAUUCACCAAACCGAACCUAUUUAACGACCCUGAAUCCCUUGAGGUUGGCACUAUCUAUUACAGUGGUUAUAAUAUCUUAAUUGUUAACUGUAUAUGAGCAUACGAGAUAAAAAUAAAUUGUGUCAAUUGAGA